UUGCUGGAGGUAUCAGAAGUGCGAAUGCUGACAUAAGUAACGAUAAAGCGGGUGAAAAGCCCGCUCGCCGGAAGACCAAGGGUUCCUGUCCAACGUUAAUCGGGGCAGGGUGAGUCGACCCCUAAGGCGAGGCCGAAAGGCGUAGUCGAUGGGAAACGGGUUAAUAUUCCCGUACUUGGUGUUACUGCGAAGGGGGGACGGAGAAGGCUAUGUUGGCCGGGCGACGGUUGUCCCGGUUUAAGCGUGUAGGUGUGUGUUCCAGGUAAAUCCGGUUCACUUUAACACUGAGGCGUGAUGACGAGGCACUACGGUGCUGAAGCAACAAAUGCCCUGCUUCCAGGAAAAGCCUCUAAGCAUCAGGUAACAUCAAAUCGUACCCCAAACCGACACAGGUGGUCAGGUAGAGAAUACCAAGGCGCUUGAGAGAACUCGGGUGAAGGAACUAGGCAAAAUGGUGCCGUAACUUCGGGAGAAGGCACGCUGACACGUAGGUGAAGUGAUUUACUCAUGGAGCUGAAGUCAGUCGAAGAUACCAGCUGGCUGCAACUGUUUAUUAAAAACACAGCACUGUGCAAACACGAAAGUGGACGUAUACGGUGUGACGCCUGCCCGGUGCCGGAAGGUUAAUUGAUGGGGUCAGCGCAAGCGAAGCUCCUGAUCGAAGCCCCGGUAAACGGCGGCCGUAACUAUAACGGUCCUAAGGUAGCGAAAUUCCUUGUCGGGUAAGUUCCGACCUGCACGAAUGGCGUAAUGAUGGCCAGGCUGUCUCCACCCGAGACUCAGUGAAAUUGAACUCGCUGUGAAGAUGCAGUGUACCCGCGGCAAGACGGAAAGACCCCGUGAACCUUUACUAUAGCUUGACACUGAACAUUGAGCCUUGAUGUGUAGGAUAGGUGGGAGGCUUUGAAGUGUGGACGCCAGUCUGCAUGGAGCCGACCUUGAAAUACCACCCUUUAAUGUUUGAUGUUCUAACGUGGACCCGUGAUCCGGGUUGCGGACAGUGUCUGGUGGGUAGUUUGACUGGGGCGGUCUCCUCCUAAAGAGUAACGGAGGAGCACGAAGGUUGGCUAAUCCUGGUCGGACAUCAGGAGGUUAGUGCAAUGGCAUAAGCCAGCUUGACUGCGAGCGUGACGGCGCGAGCAGGUGCGAAAGCAGGUCAUAGUGAUCCGGUGGUUCUGAAUGGAAGGGCCAUCGCUCAACGGAUAAAAGGUACUCCGGGGAUAACAGGCUGAUACCGCCCAAGAGUUCAUAUCGACGGCGGUGUUUGGCACCUCGAUGUCGGCUCAUCACAUCCUGGGGCUGAAGUAGGUCCCAAGGGUAUGGCUGUUCGCCAUUUAAAGUGGUACGCGAGCUGGGUUUAGAACGUCGUGAGACAGUUCGGUCCCUAUCUGCCGUGGGCGCUGGAGAACUGAGGGGGGCUGCUCCUAGUACGAGAGGACCGGAGUGGACGCAUCACUGGUGUUCGGGUUGUCAUGCCAAUGGCACUGCCCGGUAGCUAAAUGCGGAAGAGAUAAGUGCUGAAAGCAUCUAAGCACGAAACUUGCCCCGA
rnacentral:rRNA from 1 species